CGGAAAUCCGGCUCCCACCUUCAUUGAGCAAAGGAACAUAUUUGUAUACUAGCAACAGAGCCUGUAACUCAGAAACGGCUGGACUGAUUUUUAAAGAAGUUGGGGCAUCUUUAAAUGUCAUCCUACUGUGCUCUGGAAGAUGGAUCUAAGUGUCCUUCUUUGCUAUGAUCAGGAAGACUCCAUUUGCCAUCGAGUUUAUAUUGUAACAAAUAUUUUGUAUUAGCCCAUUGCUUUUCAUCUCUGAUGCGUUAUAUCAUAAAUACAAACAAUGGAUUAAAUGUAUCCAGAAGAAUUUUAUUUACACACCAUUGCCAGUCAGUCUUGUUGAACACUUGAGCCUAAAAACCUGGCACAGAACUAUGGCAUUUAAUGUUAAAUAAUGACAAAAACUUUUCAAGACUCAGUGCAUUUCUGUUCAUUUCAUUUGGAUUUUCUGUUGGAUAAAGUGACUGAAGAUUGCCAAAUUUUUCUAAUUGUAUUUUUUUUCUAAAUUCAUUGGGAGAAAUAUAUUUAAAAAAAAUUGUUUUUGUUUUUGUAAACGGAGUCUAAUUUGUUUAAAAAGUGGCUCAGCACACAUUUUUUAAAUAAUUUUGCCUAUUUGGGCAGUUUUUACUUGACUGGUUUCUUAGCAAACUUGAGGAAGGUAAUAUAGUCUGCCUUAUACAGAAGCAGCCACUGCCUUAAUGUCUGUAACUUUAAAGGGGCUAUCCAGCUUGUAACAACAUAUCCCCUAUCCACAGGAUAAGGGAUAAGUGAUGAUCACAGGGGUCUGACCACUGGGGCCCCCCGAGCUGUCUCCAGAGUGGGGUCUAUCUUUCCCCCCCCCCCAGCUCCCACCUUCUGAGACGAACAGGUUUUGGCAGUGACAGGCCACUCGGUCAGUCACCGACCACAGUGGUAUCCUUCCGUAGCCAGAGAUUGGCUGAGUGGGCCAUUACUGCCGGAACCAUUUUGUCUCGAAAGUUGGGACCCGGAGCGCUGAGCGGUAGAGAGUUUACUCCUAUUGUGGCAUCUAAAACAGGAAAAUUGUACAGAUGUAGGUAUUAAAAAGUACGGAGCACUCACCCAAAUUUCUCUUGUAUCAAAUGUGGUUUAUGUGUCACAUCACUUGCGGCAGCAGAGAGGCAGGGAAGGAGGACAGCGUGGGGGAGAGAGAGAGAGACAGGUGACGGUCCGUUAUCGUGCUACCAGCACUUCGUCAAGUAACUCUGCCGGUAGCUCAGUGGAGCUGAUCAGGAACACCGCAACAAAAUCAAGGGGUCCCAAUCAGCUGAGAGGACAGCAGGUCCCUACCUGCCACCAGCUCGACUGAUUGGUUUUCCAAUCCUGCAGAAAGCCACAGCAGUCUGAAGUAAUGGAGCGCCAAUAAGACUAAACAAUCAUAAGAUUGCAUGAUAUAGUCCCCUAUGGGAACUAAAAAAAAAUUG